GGAGAUUGGCAAACCCGUCGAAAGACGGCGACGCAAAGCCAUGAGUCUGUGGCAGGCACUGCUAUGAUUGUCAGGCUGCAAA
rnacentral:ncRNA from 1 species